UGCCGGGGAGGCCUCAAAAGGGAAGCCGGUGAAAGUCCGGAACUGUGCCCGCAGCUGUGAACUCCUUAACGGUCCGGCAAUGAUGUCAUUGAAGCAAUUCGAGAAGACGCCGCGCCGGGAGCAGUCAGAAGACCUGCCUUGUCAAGU
rnacentral:ncRNA from 1 species